CAUGAGGCACGAGCGGCCAAUUCCUCCAGUUUGCUGCCUUGCCAGCCUCCUACCAUAAAAUAGGCGACAACCAACUUAACGUUGACCUCCAAGUCAUUAAAAGUAAUCAACUUAGCUGACCAGCUAAUAAUAUAAUAACUCAAAUAUGUAUAUAAUAAUAAAAUAGCUAAUAUCCUAGAUUUUCAUAGCUAAUAUGUAGUGUGUGUGUGUGUAUAUAUAUAAAGAGGAAAAAAAAACGUCUCCUAUUUUUCUCUAUUUUGGCUAAAGAAAUUUCUCUAUUUUGGCUAAAGCUAUUCUAAUGGAAAUGUAAGUUUUAUUCUAAAUCUUAAGAACACGUAACUGUGUGUCAUUUCAAAAGGAGGUCCUUAUGAUAACGGCUGUUAAAUGCUAAUUUGUUUAUGUAAAUCUUUGACUUUCAUAUGUUGAAAUACUCACCAUCUACAUUUAGAGUUUAUAUUUACCCAUUUCGGUCUAUAAAAGCAGUGUUGUGUUUUGGCCAAUACUUUAUACAUUUUGACAAAGUGACAGACUUUGUGCAAAUUAUCGAAACAAAAAGUUAGUUUUUUCUUAAGCUUACAGUAUAUAAUAUAUAUUUUCUCCUCUACAAUACACUUUCGAAAGAGAUGAUUAUAAUAACAUUAAUGUAAACUUUCGCAGACUUUGAAUUUUUUCUUAAAUAUAUCUGGAUGGUUUCUCGUUGAAAGAGGCUUUUGUAAGAUAUGAUGUGUCUAAGGUUUACUGCAUUCAAAUUUUACCAUAAAUGUUCCCUAACAGUUCUACUUUCUUAUCUAGAAAUUUCGGAAAGAAUAGACAUAUCAAUUAAAUCAUAAAGUAGAAAUAGUUUUCUUGCAGUUUUACGUAUAUAAAUAGAUUAUAUAAUUCUUGCCGUGAACUGCUAUGAAAAAUAAUAAAUCAUAUAUUGGUUUCACGUUUAACCUUAGAUAUCAGAGACAGAUGUCAGUUUGUUUUUAGUCAGUAUAUAAUUAUAUAUGCAUAUCAUAGUUACUGAAAAUUAUCAACAAAAAAAAAAUAAUACAAAUAAUAAUAAAACUUCUGGUAUAAAAUUGACACAGAUCAAUAUCUGUGUCUACUUUAUAUCAAUGUCCACAAUAUCCAUACCAAUGUAUGGAUCGAAACCUAAUAUAUAUGAUGACUCUGGUUUAAUUCAUCGACGUAAUUAAAGCAUUUUGGAAAAUAAAUUA